GAUAAGUUUAAACCAGGAUACAAAGUGAUGGUAAAAUCAUUUAGAACACCAGGUCCCUGGCAGGCAGGUUGGGAAGGACCUUAUGUUAUUCUAAAGAAAUUUGGACAAACUGUCUUACAGGUUCAAAGAGCAAAAGUUGGUAGGAAAUGUAAUAAAGCAAGUCGUGUGCAUAUUGAUCAAUUUAAACUCACAAAUGUAUAAGAAUGCCAUCUGUUUUUCAUUACAGAAUCAAUAAUGUUUGUUCAUGGACAAAGACUGUUUAAUUUUAAAAAGGACAAAUUGUUUGGACUAUCAAAAGACACUAUGGACAAAAAGACUGCUCUCAUGAAUGCGAUUGGAGAGGACAUUACUUCAUGGACUAAAUCAAACCGAUUGGGGUUUCUUGAUAAUGUAACCUUUAUAAAAUUGCACAGCAUCAUACUGUUAUUAAUCAUGAUGAUGUUAGGUACAAUCAAUGUCCAAGGUACAGGUACUCCAGAUUGUGACAUUAGAGAUACUUUUGCUAAAUGUACAGCAUACCCCUAUGAGUGUAAAGUGAGAUAUUGUAAGACUCCUAAUGUUGAUUAUUGUGGAUGCAUUAAUGCAGACACAUCUGAGGAUGCAAUAUCUGGUAUGCUCAUAUUUCAUGAUAACCAAGAACCAUGUAUGACAUAUCUAUCAGCUGACGGACGAAUUGAUUUAAUCAUUAAUAUUACCAAGGAUCUGACAUAUAUAAUGCAAAAUAAUACUGAGAGUAGGUGUGUGGUACCUACUGGUAUAGACAACACCCUUACCCUUACUAUGUUUAAUGUGAGAAGUAUUAACGAUGAUGGGUUAAAUUGCUACAUGUACUUAAUAGAUACACUUGUCAAUCCUUACACAAAUGCUAAAGUAAAUAUUAUGAUAUAAUACCACCCAUACUAAAAAGGACUGAUACUAUUAUGAAGUAUGAUCAACGUACUUUAUAUAAUGUAAGUAUAGGUUAUGGAGCUGAUUUCUAUAAGCAGUUAAAGAACAAUGAAGAGUUAAUACAAGUAAUUGAUAAAGCUGCGACUGGAGUACAUAACACUUUAGUACAAAUACAUACAGUGCAAGGUAUGAUUAAAAGCAUUAAACAUGAUUAUAUCGAAGAAACCACAUCCUGGUGGCAAUGGUGGUUUGGGGGACAAAAGA